rnacentral:rRNA from 1 species
UACAGAGGGUGCGAGCGUUAAUCGGAAUUACUGGGCGUAAAGCGCACGUAGUCGGCUUUGCAAGUCGGGUGUGAAAUCCCCGGGCUCAACCUGGGAACUGCAUCCGAGACUGCAUUGCUAGAGUAUGGGAGAGGGAAGCGGAAUUUCUGGUGUAGCAGUGAAAUGCGUAGAUAUCAGAAGGAACAUCAGUGGCGAAGGCGGCUUCCCUGGACCAA